AAUGAUCCAUUAAUUUCCCCUGCCUUAGGGUAGGGAAAGACGCCGCUCGUCCAACCUAGAGUGCGAGUCGCUCUCCCCCAUCUAGGCUUGGGAGUAAAUAAAGUUUUAGUUGGUUUUGAUUUCUGCAGUACUUUUGUAGCAAAGAGAGAGUUUUUAAUUGAUUUGUGCAAUGGCUUUGGUUUGUUGGAGCUGCACCAUUUGUUGAUGUUGGUGGCCUUCAUCCUCUUGAAGGGUUAUUUGCAUGUGUGGUGGUGAGCAUCUCAGGUUGUUGAGUUAGGCUUAUUUGGUAGUUGCUAUAAGAGACUGAGAGGCCAUUAGCUAUACCCUUACCUCCUUCGGUGGCUAUCGAUUAUGAUAGUGUUUGAUGUGUCCUAAAUUCCAACGACCAGUUGGGUUAAUGUUUAUAGGUGGUGGUUUUUUGGUUUGCAAGCAAGUUUCUUAUUUGAUUAGAAAACUUUCCUUCUUCGGCCUUCUAGUGUUCUGCUUCAACUCCAGCUGCGAUAAGACUCGGCAAUGCUUUUAGGGCUCUUGGUGGUUUCGACUUCGUUCUUCUUGGGGUUUGAUUUAUGAGUUUCAAUUUCUCGUAUGUGUUGGGCUCAAACUUCAUUGCCUUUCUGUUGGUAUUGUCGGACUUGAUGUACUUCUAUCCUUUAGCCCUUGUUAAUGCAAUGAUGCAAUUAAAAAAAAAAAGGUUUGCAUAAUUAUCUUAAAGCCCAGAAAUCUUUUGUAUGAAAACUGGUCAAUUUCAAGAAACCCAACCCAAUAUCAAAGCGGUGUCGCUUUCUGCUGUUGGUUGGCGGGCUAUCGAUCAUUGGUCAUCACCUUCUGUCCCCAAAUCUACACUUCUGAAAUGAUCAAUCGCAACUAAAAUCGAUACGCCAGCUCGAAUAUUUGAUUUUAGGAUUCAUUCCGAUCAACAGGCAAUAUCCCCCGAAGGCUUUGAGAUUUUAUUCAUUUUCUAUCAAAUCUUCGAUUCAAAUUGUCUACAAGGACUUUAAGAGAGGCGUUGUAUCUGUUCGAGAAAUAAUCCAUUAUGAAGUUAUUAGAAUACAGUACCCUUGAAAGGUAAUUUUUUAAUUGCUACUUUGGCAAUCGAAUUGCCCUUGAGAGGAAUUAGCCUUUUUUUUUUUUUUUUAAAUAAUUAGGUGAAUGUUCCAUCAGGGAGAUUUGUGAACCUCAGCCUGUGACUAGUCUUAGAUGGGAUUACAUUUGAAUUUGAUUUUGAUAUAUUGUGUUGUAUUCUGUUUAUUAUCCCCAGCAUAAAUGAGUUCUUAAGCAAUUUAAAUCUUGGAGAACGUACAAUCAAGGGAUGCCUUGAAGCUUACUCAUGCAAUUACCAAUUUGCAACUUAAUUAUCAAGUUUUGGAAAUUUUAUUUUGGAUGAAAAAUGUGAUUUUUCCUCCCUCGUGUUCUGUUAAGGUAAACAUUCUGGAACAGACAAAAAACUUUCUAUCAGUUUGGAGCACGAGGAAACAUAAUGAAACCAAACAUGUCCUAAAAGCAUUGGUAUUUUGGAUAAACUUUAUCCAUCUGUGUUUGUAUGGUGAGCGCUAGUGGAUGUGUCCACGUGUCUUGCAUUUUUGUCUUGUGCGACUGCAGGAGUUGAGCUAUGUAUGCAACAAUGAUCUUGCUUAGGAUUCAUUUGUUUUGCAAGAGUUAUAUUCCAUGCUGUAGACGGUGAACUGCAAGAUUUCUCAUAUCUAGGUUCUUUAAUU